rnacentral:rRNA from 1 species
UACGGAGGGUGCGAGCGUUGUCCGGAAUCACUGGGCGUAAAGGGCGCGUAGGCGGCCCGAUAAGUAGGGGGUGAAAUCCUGCGGCUUAACCGCAGGGCUGCCUUCUAAACUGUCGGGCUAGAGCACGGUAGAGGCAGAUGGAAUUCCCGGUGUAGCGGUGGAAUGCGUAGAGAUCGGGAAGAACAUCAGUGGCGAAGGCGGUCUGCUGGGCCGUUGCUGACGCUGAGGUGCGAAAGCGUGGGGAGCAAACAGG